rnacentral:rRNA from 1 species
UAGGGAAUCUUCCGCAAUGGGCGAAAGCUUGACGGAGCAACGCCGCGUGAGUGAUGAAGGUCUUCGGAUCGUAAAACUCUGUUAUUAGGGAGGAACAAAUGUGUAAGUAACUAUGCACGUCUUGACGGUACCUAAUCAGAAAGCCACGGCUAACUACGUGCCAGCAGCCGCGGUAAUACGUAGGUGGCAAGCGUUAUCCGGAAUUAUUGGGCGUAAAGCGCGCGUAGGCGGUUUUUUAAGUCUGAUGUGAAAGCCCACGGCUCAACCGUGGAGGGUCAUUGGAAACUGGAAAACUUGAGUGCAGAAGAGGAAAGUGGAAUUCCAUGUGUAGCGGUGAAAUGCGCAGAGAUAUGGAGGAACACCAGUGGCGAAGGCGACUUUCUGGUCUGUAACUGACGCUGAUGUGCGAAAGCGUGGGGAUCAAACAGG